rnacentral:lncRNA from 1 species
GAAAAGAGUAAUAAUGCGAGUUAGCAUAAUGCGGUACACCUGCACACCCGUUCACCAGGCGAGCUUGGCUGCCAGCUACGGGGAGAAAGCUCAGGUCCGAAGGCACAUCUUCAUUUCCAUCGCUGAUUGGACCUGGGAACCUCCAAGGCAGCCCUGUGGGAGCUGCAGAGGCCCUCAGGGGGCCCCAGAGGAAGACCCUGCCUGCUCAACGGGAGGGUGGCUCCAGAGUGACGCCAGGGGACCGAGUGUCAGCCGGGAAGGGACCAUAGGAAAACCCAUGAGUCAGCAGAAGCCUUGAGGCAGACAGAUGGAGAAGAUGGGGCGAGAGAAGCCGCUGCAGGUAAACAGGGACCUGGGUAAACUGAGUCAUGUGUCAGGCAGACACGUGCCAGGUGGGACCCAGCACGUGCCCACCUGCUUCUGAGGGAUCCAGAAUCAUCUCCCUGCUGCUGUGGGAUCCAGAACAAUCUUCCUGUUUUCCUUGAGGUUCCAUUGUCUUGAUACCUGGAGACCCUGUGUUCCUUUACUUCCAGGGUGUCUGGCCUGCCAAGAAUAACAUUUGUCUCUACCCCUCGCGAUUUGGAAAGGUUGAAACAAGACUUACCUUGCAGGAUCCUUAGGAAAAUUGAUCA